rnacentral:rRNA from 1 species
GAUGAACGCUGGCGGCGUGCCUAAUACAUGCAAGUCGAGCGAACAGAUCAGGAGCUUUCUCCUCUGACUUUAUCGGCGGACGGGUGAUUAACACGUGGAUAACCUACCUAUAAGACUGGGAUAACUUCGUGAAACCGUAUCUAAUACCGGAUAAUAUAUUGCACCGCAUUGUUCAAUCGUUAAAGUCGGUUUUGCUGUCACUUAUAGCUGGCUCCGCGCCGCAUUAGCUAGUUGGUAAGGUAACGGCUUACCAAGGCAACGAUGCGUAGCCGACCUGAGAGGGUGAUCGGCCACACUGGAACUGAGACACGGUCCAGACUCCGACGGGAGGCAGCAGUAGGGAAUCCUCCGCAAUGGGCGAAAGCCUGACGGAGCAACGCCGCGUGAGUGAUGAAGGUCUUCGGAUCGUAAAACUCUGUUAUUAGGGAAGAACAAAAGUGUAAGUAACUAUGCAGGUCAUGACGGUACCGAAACAGAAAGCCACGGCUAACUACGUG